rnacentral:rRNA from 1 species
GAUGAACGCUGGCGGCGUGCCUAAUACAUGCAAGUCGAGCGAACGGACGAGAAGCUUGCUUCUCUGAUGUUAGCGGCGGACGGGUGAGUAACACGUGGAUAACCUACCUAUAAGACUGGGAUAACUUCGGGAAACCGGAGCUAAUACCGGAUAAUAUUUUGAACCGCAUGGUUCAAAAGUGAAAGACGGUCUUGCUGUCACUUAUAGAUGGAUCCGCGCUGCAUUAGCUAGUUGGUAAGGUAACGGCUUACCAAGGCAACGAUGCAUAGCCGACCUGAGAGGGUGAUCGGCCACACUGGAACUGAGACACGGUCCAGACUCCUACGGGAGGCAGCAGUAGGGAAUCUUCCGCAAAGGGCGAAAGCCUGACGGAGCAACGCCGCGUGAGUGAUGAAGGUCUUCGGAUCGUAAAACUCUGUUAUUAGGGAAGAACAUAUGUGUAAGUAACUGUGCACAUCUUGACGGUACCUAAUCAGAAAACCACGGCUAACUACGUG